rnacentral:lncRNA from 1 species
AACUUUCCAAGGUGGAGAAGCUGGGUCUCUACAACCCAUUCACUCUCUCCGGCAACAUCAUGGUUAACAACGUGGAGGCUCCCUCUCACAGCGAGUGGUUCCUGGACUCCCUCUUUGAUGCCAUUGGCGCAACUGAGUACCUCCCAUAUGCAUACCACGCCAUGCUCGCUCCACUUCGCGCCAUCUACAACAUCGUCGGCAAGGAAAUCUAUGGAAAGGGUUAUGCUGCCGUCAAUUCUUGUGUCAACGUUGCUGAAUUUGGAAUGAAGCACGGAGGAAGCAUCGCUCUUGCUGGUGGAAUCGCUGGAGUUGCAACAGCAAUGCUGGCCACGAAGGCUUGAUGAAAAACCAGAAGUAGAAUAAAAUGUAAAUUUCAUUAACAUAUUUUAUGCUUUUGAUUAUUCCCCAUAUAUUCUCAAUGGUUUAUUGUUUGUUUAGUGGAUAUACCUAGAUAUUUUAGAACUUUUUACCAUCUAAUGGUUGUUAUUCCUUUAGAUUAAUCUCGUGUUUAUAAUUUAUGAUUAAAGCAUACUCUAGCUUAUCUAGCUUUUAUACCAUUAGGUUAAACUUGUGGUUGUUAAAAAAGUUCUUAAACAUGAUGGAAAGUGUAUUGUGUGGUUUAUAUGCUCAACUAGGAAAAACAUUUUCUUGUAAUACAUAAAUCAUAAUAAUUUGUUAUAAUACAAACUAAGCAAACCCAACUUUUCUAAAAUGUAAUGUGUCACAAUUUAUUAUUAUUUAUCUAAAAAAAAGGCUUGAUGUACCACAAGUAAAAUAAAAUAAAAUUUCAAAAAAUAGAAAAAGAAAAGAAAACUUUUGAUUAUUCCCCUUCUUUCUUUAUAUCCAACUCCCAAUUUUAUAUUAUAAAUGGUUCAUUUGCAUCUUGGUAGUUGAUAUACCUAAAAUAUAGUUGAAUAUUCUAGAAUAGUAAUAGUAAUUUAAUGGCUAUUAUUUAUUUAUAAUAAUUUUAUCAUUAAAUUUAAACAUGGUUAUAAUUUAUAAAAUUUUCCCAAACACCUUCUAGCUCUAACUAUUAUACCAUUAGAUAAAUCUUGUGUUUAUCAAAAACAUUCUUAAAAAUAAUAAUUUAUUAUUAUUUUUCUAAAAAUAUUAUUAUAAUGCUAUUAAAUAAUAAUAGUAUCUUUAAAUAUGAAUCUAAGUAUAUUUAUAUUUUAAUUAAUAUAUUAAAUUAAGUGAUUAGUUUCAAAAUUUACAAAAUUUGUUUCAUUAAUUUAAUGAAAAUUACUUUUGUGAGUGUUUGGAAUAUGGAAAGGGAAUAUAAAAAAUAUGCCCCAAAAACCCUAAUUUAUAUAUAGAAGCGAGUGGUUUGGAUUGAAACCAAUCCAAUGGCUACCAAAAUCCCACUAUGCUAAUAUUAAUAUACGGCAUAGUAGCCAUACACUUGGCCCUCACAUCAUCCCCUCCUCUUGGAAUAAUGGAAAACCAUCAGGGUUCUCUUGUAAACGGGCCGGGAUCUGGAGGAACGUCAAGAGGAGGCAUCGGCAGAUCUGUAAGUGGUAUUAAUUGUUCCUGAUCCUUUUGUAUGAAGUGUUUCAACUGCUGCACAUGCACAAUCUCUGGAGGAUCGGCCUGUUGGACGUCAUGCCGAACCUCAUAAACUUGUGGUCUAACUUGCCGCAACACCUGAUACGGUCAUUUCCACUGCGCAAGAAGCCCCUUAGAUAAACCACGUACUGUAAGAUGGGGAAAAUGGACUAACACCAAAUCAUCCACUUUGUACUCUGCAGGUGAACGAUGAUAAGAGUUGUAGCGCCGUUGUUGUCCCACUUAUACGUAACCUAAGUGUUCGGCAGACUCAGUUUGGACAAGUGGAAGAAUGCUUGUCAAAUACUGAUCCCACGACCUAACAUCGGCAGCUCGUGGCAAUUGCGAAGGUAAACCUAGCUUUGUUGAUAAUAUUGGAUCAUGACCAUAUAGGAGUUUAUAUGGUGAAGCACCAACAAAACUCUACACCCCUGUGACAUAUGCAUAUUGAAGAGACGGCAAAUAACCAUCCCAAUUAGAAUGUUGAAAGUUCACAUACUUCGCAAUUGUAGCGCACGUGGUUUUUACCCUUUAUCCUAUGGUGAUUUACCAUAGGAUAACACCAUGAAGCAGAACCUAAACCCUCUUUGUGCCACGUGACAGAUGCCAUGUGUCAUAUGCCACGUGUCCAAAGGNNNNNNNNNNNNNNNNNNNNNNNNNNNNNNNNNNNNNNNNNNNNNNNNNNNNNNNNNNNNNNNNNNNNNNNNNNNNNNNNNNNNNNNNNNNNNNNNNNNNNNNNNNNNNNNNNNNNNNNNNNNNNNNNNNNNNNNNNNNNNNNNNNNNNNNNNNNNNNNNNNNNNNNNNNNNNNNNNNNNNNNNNNNNNNNNNNNNNNNNNNNNNNNNNNNNNNNNNNNNNNNNNNNNNNNNNNNNNNNNNNNNNNNNNNNNNNNNNNNNNNNNNNNNNNNNNNNNNNNNNNNNNNNNNNNNNNNNNNNNNNNNNNNNNNNNNNNNNNNNNNNNNNNNNNNNNNNNNNNNNNNNNNNNNNNNNNNNNNNNNNNNNNNNNNNNNNNNNNNNNNNNNNNNNNNNNNNNNNNNNNNNNNNNNNNNNNNNNNNNNNNNNNNNNNNNNNNNNNNNNNNNNNNNNNNNNNNNNNNNNNNNNNNNNNNNNNCACUUAGGAUUCCGUCCUUAUGCUUAUCCGGCCAAGUACAGAUGCAAAGUCCAGUUUACUAACACUUGAACAAGAGGGGCUGAUAAAGGGUCCAGCAAUACCGACCUCCUGCCAUCGUGGCAAUAAGGUAAGAGUGUCUGUAAGGACUGGUCGACAGGUAACUUUCGAUACCCGAAAGUCACAUGCGCGACACUCUCCCCCCCUAGGGAAGAUCGACGUCCUCGUCGAUGCAUACUCGAGUCUAGAAUACCGUCAAGAAAACAACUCCAGAAAAAGUUCACGGUACUCACACUAUGUGAGAAAUGCACCAACUUAAAUGAGUUAGGAGGCAACCUCUUUGUCUAACGCGGAUGUGCUACCAGCUCAGACACCUUCCAACCGUCGCUGACAAGGAAAUGACCAACGGAGUCAGCCACCCUUGCUGCUCUGGGAGUCACCCAGCUCACAAAAGUGUGAUAUGCCCUGCCCGCAGAGACAUAGAGAGAGGAACUAGAGGCCCCAACCCUCAUGAGCAAAGAAACCAAACCCGUUGGUAAGGUUUAGAUAGACUACUGUAAACAGGCAGUUAGAGUUGUUUACACAGUCACGCCCUUUCAACGAAAUAAGGAACAUCGACAGAGAGGCGGGUGAUGUGACCAGUCGACAGUAGCUACCCCAUGACUAGAGAUUUCACCAUGCACACAAAGUGCCGAAGCCAGUCUGCCCAUUACUGGCCCAAACUCAAAGAACAAUAGAUGGACAAUAUCAAAGUUAUAGACAAUGAUAUCUUAGAGUCGGAAUUAUCAGUGAAUAAAUCUUAUAUUAGAACACACAAGUAUUCCAAGUAUGUUAUCAUCUAAUAAACUAGUAUUAUAGGAUAGGAACCACCAAGAUCACUAUCAUUGGAAAACAUAGGAUUAACCAUCCAACAAAAUUCAAUAGCAAGUAUAUCAUCAAGUAAACUCAAUGAUAAAACUUAACUACCGAAGAUGGUAGACAGGAUGCCAAACAACUUACUAAAGAUAACUCAAAGAACACAAAGUAUCAUUGACUAACAAGCACAAUACUCGCGAAUGUAUCACCCGAAGGAAAUAACAUCCUAAUCUAUAAGAACUAACUCGGGCAAUAAUCAACAGAACAAAAUGAAUGUUGCAAAGUAAGCAAAUAUAGUGUUCAUGCCAAUCAUUGCACUAGCCAAUCCAGAUAGAUCCCAGCCAAUAACACCAAGGAACUCAAGUUGCCUAAGCAAGUGUCAGCAACAUCCUACUGAUGUCUCAAUCCCAAGAGACCAAACCAGAGCAAACCACAAAUAAUAUAUGGUAUUGCGAAAAGCCAUAAGCUAUCAAAGAUAAGAACUAACCAUAAUGAAAGAUCAUCAAAAUUAUCCCAUCAAUAAAGAGAUGCAUAAUCACCAUCUAAGAAGGAAUCCACCAUCCUGAAUAACGGCAAACCAUUCUAUACCAACAAUAAUUAAGCAAAACCUUUUUGACAAGGAUAAUCAACUAUCCCAGAUAAUAGUCAAUCAUCACCAAUGAUUGCUAGAUGCAAAAGCCAACUUCAACAUCGAAGCUAAUAAGUCAAAAUGUCUUCCCCAACAACUUCUAACAAAUGGAACAACGAGCAUAAAACUCAAAGAACCAAAAGUUCGAAGAAGUCUAUAGCCAAGUCUUUCCUAACAAUGAUCACAAGUCUCACAUGAACUAACUUUAAUGCUAAAGAAGAAAUUAUGGUGCAACCCACAACAUUUUCCUCAACACAUCCAUAACCUAAACUUCAUAAUGCAAAGCUAAUGAAGAGCAUACUUGCAUCAAUCUAAAAGCUAAGCAUAACAAAGUUAUGCUCGACAAGUGAUCACCAAACAAUCCUCCAUGAAUCCAUCUAUAACAAGACGUAACUCACUUCAUAACAAACACAAGAAGAACCAUCAAUGAUCGAUAUAUUCCAACUCAAAUCCAAUAAGGAUUCAAACAUUCUAAUAUCAAUCACUAACUCUUCUGCUUGUAGAGUUAGCAUCGUCCAUGACUGAAUACUUUUCAAGGAAAAGCCAAAGCUCAACCUUUACUAAAUAAUCUCGUCUAGAACACAACUAACUCAACUUGUCACUCAGUUUGUUUGAAUGUCANNNNNNNNNNNNNNNNNNNNNNNNNNNNNNNNNNNNNNNNNNNNNNNNNNNNNNNNNNNNNNNNNNNNNNNNNNNNNNNNNNNNNNNNNNNNNNNNNNNNNNNNNNNNGAGACAUCUCAUUUCACUGAAAUCUCAAUAUCAACAAUGUCAAUGACAAGGCAUCACUUCAAUGCCAUCAACACCAGAACAAAACGAGAAGAAAGCAUGAGUGUAUCACCACUCAAAACUCUCUAGCAACUAAGCUAACCAAGGUCGAAGAUACUUUACUCAAUAUCCGAGACCAAUUCUUCAACAUUACUCAGGUACAGAUAACACAUCAUCAAGGAGUGAUUCACCACGUCCAGACUCAAUGAAAUCCAACACCACAAACUAAAUGCAACCAAAUGAUAUCGACAGAGGUAGAGUCGAUAUGCCAACAUGGAAAACCCAUGUAAGUCUAACGACACGAUCCUCCGCAACCCCAUCCGGUAAAGCAAGCCCAUCACUGCUAAAUCAUCAUCAAGCGAAGCAAGUGUCAAAAGCCUUUGACAAAGUCUACAAGUAAUCACUAGUCGCAAAGCAACUAACAAUCACUCUUUCAACUUGCCUUCACAAGACCCAAACACUAAACUCACGUCAUCGAGUCAUACACUUGUCCAACAUAAAUGUGAUACCUCCGGUAUGAGAUAAAAGUACAUAGACAAGCACAAACCAAAUGACCACUCAAAUCCAACUCAACCACGAUAAGCCCACCAAAGCAUUUAGCCAAUAGCUCUGAGCAUGCCUUGAAGAGGCUAGCUAUGCAUGAUCAAUACUCAGCUGAAACUAAAGUGAAGACCAUGAGAUGGAUCCAUAUCGGUACACAACCUCCUCAUGGACAAAGCUAUAAUACGGGUACCAACAUCUCAAACUCAAAGAACUAAGUUGAACAUCACCAUCCUCAGCCAAGACACAAGGCCACCAAGACCAAGUCAAGAUCAGUGAGAGCUCACUACUCUCAUAGAGUCUAACAAAAUGCAAAGUGCAACCUGCCACCAAGCAUAACGCUACAAANNNNNNNNNNNNNNNNNNNNNNNNNNNNNNNNNNNNNNNNNNNNNNNNNNNNNNNNNNNNNNNNNNNNNNNNNNNNNNNNNNNNNNNNNNNNNNNNNNNNNNNNNNNNNNNNNNNNNNNNNNNNNNNNNNNNNNNNNNNNNNNNNNNNNNNNNNNNNNNNNNNNNNNNNNNNNNNNNAGUUUGUAUUGGCUUUCGACAAACGGAAUGGUUUUUGAGCAAAGUGAUAACAGAUCAGCCAUUAGAAAAGUCUAAGAAAAUUUGUGGAAAAAUCUUUCCAUUCUAAAGAAAGAAUGACUCUCAGUCUAGGAAUGCAAACUUUCAAGACUCAACCAAUUUCCUCCUACCAACAACUUCACAUAGGUUCACCUCAACACAAAUUCUCAUGACCCAUAGUAUGCUUAAGCCUCGAACAUCUUUACCCAUCUAACCGAUAUCUAACACCGACAUCCGCAAAAUGCAAAGUGAACACCCAAGGCUUGAUCACGAAGACCACAUCUUCGGAUAUCCAUAUUGCAUUAACACUCUUCUUCAAUCACCUUCAAAAUUCAAUGUGAAGUCAAAACACUAACAAGAAAAAUGACAUGAAAAAUCAAGGUUUAAGGAAAAUUCCUCAUCACUCGAAAUAACAAUGCCACUUCCACUAACACCAGUGCUAGCAAUGUCAAUGCCCCAACUACACACCUUCUCCAUCCAACAAUCUACUCCAAGUGCUAACGGAUCAACAGAUGAGCUAUAGCAAAUGAAUGCUACAACCCAUUUCUAACACCUAAUAGGCAAACUCAAAGAAACAAGGUACCAACAUAAGCUUAGUAUAAUGGACCAUCACUGAGAAUCCAGUCAAAGCUACUACAAUGCUACUUCGUGCAAGUAGACUAGCUUCACUAUCAAGCACUUUGGGGUUGAUCAUCAUUUACCCAAGCAACUUCGUAAACACAUUGCUCACUAUCACAUGGAUAUGAUAUAAGUAUCACAAUGACUUGAUCAUCAAUCAAGCAACACUAUGAGCAAUGCCCAUGUCAUUACUUCAAAGGUUUAUGUGAAUAUCAAGUGUCAACUCGAUUCGACAAAAUGCAACAUAAAUGCCACACCCCACCAAUAGAGAUUUAGAACACCCGACACCACUAACUUUUGUUUACAUCACAGACAAACUCAUGCCACUCUCUUUCUGACCAAUCUCAAAACUAAUCCAACACCAAGCUACACAAGGAGCAAUAGCAAGGUUCCCCGGAAAAGAAUUAAGCAUUGCAACCCAAGUCUUCCAAUAGCAAGCCUAGACAAAAUGGUAUAGCACUUCACCGCUAUCCAUCCCACAACUCACCAUUGUAAUGCCACCAUCUCCAACAUGCAUCAAGAUAGGGACUCUUGAUUGCAUGAUGUGAACACAAGCAAUGAGUUAACACCUCGUUGCAAAUCAUCUCUCCAAGAAGAGAAAAUGAUUUACGUAUUUGAUCCUUCGUCGCCGAUGACUCUCGUUUCGGUCUCAUCUUUGACCAAACCUCAAGCUUGCUUUCGCACUGCCUUCAGUUCAAUCGAAGAAAAGUUUAUGAGAGAGCACGGCCAUGACUACUUGAACCAAUAGACUAAUUCCUAUAAUCUUGAUUGAUCCACUUGUAACCAUGCCUAGGAAGGAUCUACUAGUGCCAUGCUAAACAGCUACGGGCUAGCCUAUUUGCCACUCAUAGCAAACCCAGGGAGGUUUGCUUUCACCCAUGGUACAUGGAACAACUUAUGGAACCACUGGAACCAAUGCGAAGUCUUUGCACCCUAACGUGUACCACUCAGAUCAUCGUUUUCAUCUCUGCGUAUGCAACGAGACUAGUUGCCCAAUCUCAUUGGAUAAUACUCGCCGAGACUCAUUCUCUGAUACCAAAUGUAGCGCACAUGGUUUUUACCCUUUAUCCUAUGGUGAUUUACCAUAGGAUAACACCACGAAGCGGAACCUAAACCCUCUUUGUGCCACGUGACAGAUGCCAUGUGUCAUAUGCCACAUGUCCAAAGGACCGUGGUGUGGAACCUGAGGUUUAGGGCCUUGGGCCACUGAACGAAGGAACGGUGCCAAACUCCCAAACAUGGAGCCAAGGAGUGACGGAACCGAACCAUGAAGCAACUCCCGAGCGUACAGCCCAAGGAGCAAAGGGACAGGAGCCCGGAGUGACUUGGAACAGUCCUAGAGCAACCAGCAUCCCAAUGCCAGGACUAACAUGCAAAAUGGAGCCAAAUGAAGUCUGGCGCUAUUUCGGCAUACCGGUGGCCUAACGUGAGGAUAUGGGUACUCCACCAACUAGCAUGGAAUGGAACUUGGGCUUAGACCCAAGCCAGACACAGAACAAGGACAGGCACGCAAGCGGGAGCUAGACUAUGCCUCAAGUUGGUCAGCCAUGCCCGACCUACCCACUAUCCCUACUAUACAUUUGGAACCCCCCACAGCCCCCCCCCCCCCCCCCCCCCUUGAGGAACACAUGCUUUGGGCUUUCACCCCAAGCCUCCCUUAGUAUCAGGAGUUAGUCUCUGGGACAAGCUCGAAACUUACUAAAUAUGGAAUGUUCUUAGAUUGUGAAUUUGGACACGGGACGAACACCAUUGUGUUCAGGCCGAUCUCUACAUUCCGUAGAUGUGCCAAAUGAGCAAAUCUGGACACUUUCCAUAAAUAGCAUUUGGGACCGAAAUGAGACUAACACAAAGGGCAUGAUAGCGAGGGUGUUUGGCAGACACAGUAAGCUAUCAUGUAGCGAUAUUGAGGGACCAAUCUCAAUACGCGAGGGUUCUUGUCAAGCCAGUGCAAGAUAGAGCAAAAGAGAACUAAAAAGCCAAGCCAAGUAUGCUUGGCUGAAUAGACACUUAGGAAUUCCGUCCUUAUGCUCAUCCGGCCAAGUACAGAUGCAAAGUCUAGUUUACUAACACUUGAACAAGAGGGGCUGAUAAAGGGUCCAGCAAUACCGACCUCCUGCCAUCGUGGCAGUAAGGUAAGAGUGUCUGUAAGGACUGGUCAACAGGUAACUUUCGAUACCCGAAGUCACAUGCGUGACAGCAAUGAUCCCUUUGAAUGUCCGAACGAGCCGUUUCACCAGACUGUCUAAUUGUGGAUGAUAAGCACUCGUGAAAGUGUGGCGUAUCCCCAACCGAGAUGUCAAAACAUGAAAUGCCUCAACCAUAAAUGUGGGACCAUUAUCCGAAAAAAUCCGCUCUAGACAAGAAUGCUAGAACACCACUCGAUUGAGGAGGAAGUAUCCAACAGCAGCUGCAAAGGCACUAGCAAGAGCACCAACUUCCACCUAACAAGUCAAGUAGUCAGAAGCAAUAAUUACAUAUUCAUUGCCAACAGUCGACUAUGGAAAAGGUCUCAUAAGAUCAAACGCCACCAACUCAAACGGACAGGAAACUACAAUUGACUCUAACCAUCCUUCCGCAACACGAGGGGGAGUAUUAUGAGCUUGGCACCAAAUGCAACUAUGCACAUACCGGAUAAUAUCACGUCGCAUCUUUGGCCAAUAGAAAGACUUGUGCAACUUCUUGAUUACAUGACGAUGUCCCAUAUGCCCACCUAGAACAGAAGAAUUAUGGUAGGCAUGGAGAAACCGCAGAAUAAAGACAGAAGGCACCACUAGCCAUAAAUGAUCAUCAGGAUCCAUCCCCAUAAAAUAAAGAAGGCCGUCGUCAAGGCGAUAUUGAGAAUGUAAAUGCUGGAAAGGCAAGUCAUCAGCAAGUGAUGCAGGAUUCUCAAACCCAUCUCGAAGCCUUCAAAUCCACGGCUCAAUCUUUUGAGCCUCACAAAUCUCAUCAAGAGAAGGUAGAUCUUGCUCUAUGCCUUGUGGACAUUGAACGUCAAGUAUAGCAACCGCCGAUAGCAUAGAAUCCUUGUCUAAAAAAUCCAUAGAUGCAUGAGCAACAGGCUCGUCAGAAACAUGAUAAGAGAGUGGAGAAGGAAGAGGAGCUCGAAAAAGGGCAUCAGCAUCAACCAUAGAACUCCUUGGGCAAUGAAUAACAUUAAAAUUAUAUAUCUGAAGCUUCAAAGCCCAUCGAGCAAUACGACCAAUCAGGUUCUUCUACUUCAAUAAUGAAGUAAUAGUAGCAUGGUCACUUUCAAGUAAUGUCCGAGAACCAUGUAAAUAUACAUGAAGUUUCUCGAAACCCCAGACUGUCGCUAAACACUCCUUUUCUGUCAUGGAGUAGUUUAUCUCUGCUAGUUGUAAUGUAUGGUUUAUAUACGCAAUGGGAUGGCGCUGACCAAGCACACUCGAGCUCUCUUGCAUCAACACACCUCCAACACCAAUAUCAAAAGCAUCCACACGCAAAAUAAAAGGUCGAGUGUAGUUAGGAUAUGCCAAAACCGGAGGAGUCGUCAAUAGCUUUUUGAGAUCCACAAACGUCUGCUCACAAUCCGAAAACCAGAUGAAAGAUGAUAAUAAUGACUUCAGCAACCCUCGCAACGGUGCAAUGCGAUCAGAAAAAUGAUCCACAAAACAACUGAGAUACUACACCUUGCCUAAGAAGCACUGCACAUCAUUCACACACUUCAGAGUAGGGAACUUUAGAACAACCACAAGUUUGUUAGGAUCAACUUGCAAACCCUCACGAGAAAUAUGGUACGCAAGAUAAGUUGUGUCUUUGGACCCAAACAUGCACUUCGACCGCUUCAGCUUUAAACCAACGUCGCGAAACCAAUCCAACACUUUACAAACAUCACGAAUAUGCUCCUCCCACGUCUCUUCCGAGUGGAUCAAAACAUCAUCAAUGAAGUCAAUAAUCACUUCUGGCAUAUCGCAAAGAACCUCGUCCAUUAUCCAUUGGAAAGUUGCUGGAACAUUGUUCAAACCAAAUGGCAUCACCAAGAACUCGUACAAACCAAAUGGGGUACGAAAAGCAGUUUUAGGAUUAUCUUCUUUGGCCAUCAGUACUUGCCAGUACUCAGAAGCAAGAUCCAGCUUGGUGAACCAAUGACUUUGCCCCAGACGAUCCAAGAGAUCAACAGUGUGAGGAAGAGGGUACACAUUCAAGAUCGUCACUUCGUUUAAUGAACAAUAGUCAAUGUAGAAACGAAUACUCCCAUUAGGUUUUGUCACAAGAUAAGGUUCACAUGCCCAUACCUCUGCUUCCAUUACUUUUGUUCCUCCACUAUUUCCUCUUAUGUUUUCGUCUUGUUCUGUUCUUCCUUAUUCUGAUCCCUCCAAUAAUCUUUGUGUUGCAACGGUUGACCAGCUCAUGAAAGAGUAUUCUAAUCUCUUUGAAUUUGACCUAUCCUCUAGGGCCAAAAUUGCCACACGUCAUCCGAUUCCAACCGGGAUGCUCGUCCAAUCAAGGUUCCUAUUCAAGGAGAUCAAGAUUUUACUUGCAAACGUAAAGGAGAUGUUGGACAAGGGUGUUAUUCGGAAGUUGCAAAGUCCUUGAAGUAGAGGGAUGAAGAAGUAUGGAAGUAAGAGGAAUGGAUAAAAUAUAAGGAAGUAUGAGACAAGGGGGAGAAGCCUCAAAGUUACACUUGGCAUGAUUGUGCUACAACUAAUCCAUACCAAGAAUGAGAUCAAAAGUUUGACUCAACACCACCCCCAAUGAUUGCAAUUCAAGCUCGAGAUCGCCCAUAUGCACAACCAAGUCUGCCUCAUCCCGUGAACAUGCAUGUGUACGGCUGUUGCCAUAAAGAAUGAAAACUGGUUUUGCCGCACGACGCAAGUGUAGACGGUAACGUAUGGCAACAGGUCGAGCAAUAGAAGAUAAACUCGAAUCUAUAUCAACUAACACGGAGAGAAUAAUAGGAGACCUCUUGUUAUAAAAAUGAGCUUGGAAAGUAAACACUGGAUGAACGGGUGUCGAAUGAACCCCUUGAUGAUACUCCCAAAAGAAAGAUGGAGGGGUCACUAACUUAUUCGCGCAAGGUCCCUCAGUUACUCGCGCGACUCUUUAUUUCCCAGAUACAUCUCAGUGUCCAAACCUUCCAUUACAAUAGCACCAACGGGAUGUUGCUGACGCCAAGGUCUUCAUCUAGGAAAUGGAGGUCGCCAAUCCAGAAAACCUCGACAACACCAAUAAGUAUGACUAAUUUCAUCAUACGCCCAGCAACAAACAUCACGGCCAUGGCCACGUCCUCGCCCUUAUCCUUGGACUCGAGCAGCAGGAACAUCAAACUCCAUUGGAACAAGACUAUCACCUAUAGGAAGUGGAACUGAAGGACGUGCAGCAAGAAGUGGAAAAGGUGACGUCUCAUAAUGUUGUGCCAAACGAAGAGCAUCGUCAAGGGUGGCGAGAGCAAGUGCAUGCACAAGUCCGACAAGAUCUUGACGAAGUGUUGGCCACAAUAUUCGUAGCUUGAUCCGCUCUGACAUACUUGGCUUUGCAUGAAGCAAAAGACUUCAAAAACGAACACUAAAUUGCAUCACCGACUCAAAUGGCCCUUGGCAAAGACGAUGCAAUUGUUGGAAGGCAUCAUCACAGUCAUCGGCAUGUCCAAAGGUGCAUUUGAAGAUGUCCAAGAGAACACUCCAAUCCUUACGAGUGGCUGCGCUUAAACAAUUGUACCACUGCAAUGUCGUCCCUUGGAGACACGUGGGAAACUCACGCAAACAUUAAGCAUCAUCCCAAGAAUGAUAUGUGGCAAUCAUCGUGAAGUGAUCGAACCAAUGGUACACAUCAUCCCCAGGAUUCCCGCGAAAGAACUCCAGCCAAAUGCGAGGAUUGGCACCAAGAGCAGGAGGAGUUGUACCCUAUGCUAUGAACACCACCAUUAACUGAGUUUGGUUGUUCAAUUGCAAACACAUAACAUUAAGCAAUUGUACCAACUGCUGCUCCAGAGUCAAAGGAGGAGAUUGUUGAUCAGCCAUGAAGACGAAUGAAAAAGAAAGAGCAAAAGAAGAGAAAUGACAAAAAGCUAGAAAGAAAUGGUAAAUCUAGACAAUGCAAAAAGCUAAAUCUAAACCAAAAGAAAGAACAAAAUAAAGGAGAUGGAAAAAGCUAGAUUUAGAUAAUGCAAAAACUAGAUCUAAACCAAAAUCCCAAAUCCAAGCACUCCUUAGGGACAAUCAAAGGUGCCCUUCAACUCCACUAAUGUGAGUGCUUAGAAUAUAGAAAGGAAAUUUAAAAAUAUGCAUAUCAAUUAGCCCAAAAGCCUAGUUUAUAUAUAAGAGUGAGUGGUCCAGAUUGAAACUAAUCUGACGGCUACAAAAAUCCCACUAUGCUAAUAUUAGUAUACAGUAUCAUAGCUGUACACUUGGCCCUCAUAGUUUAAUAUAAAAUAAAAUAAAUAUAGUAUUAUGAGGUAUGGCUACAGAUCUAAGGCCCAAGUACAUAGCUAUGAAUAUGAAGUCUAAAUGUAUGGCUACAAUACUUUAUAUUAAUAUUAUUUAUAUAAUAUAAUAUUUAUUACGUGCUGGGAUUUUGAUAGCUAUUAGAUUGGUUUCAAUCAAGACCACUCAAUCUUAUAUAUAAAUUAAAGGUUUUAGGCUAAUUAGAUAUAUAAAUUUCUAUAUUCCAUACACUCAUAUUGACAAAGUUGAGGGGCAGUCUUGAUUGUUUUUGAGGAUAUAUUUUUAUUUUAGAUCUAGUUUUUGGUUUAGAUAAUUAAUGUAGCUGUUUAAUGUUAUAUGGUUGAAACUAAACAAUUAACUUCAGUUGAUGGUGACAUUCAUGGCAAAUAGUGCAAAUUUUCUUACUUUUUUUACCCAUCUUUAUGUCUGGCCAAAUGUUUUCUAUAGAAAUCCCAAGAAUGAUAUUAAUCACUUUAAAAUGAUUGCCAAUUAUCAUUCUUGAAAUGAUAUUUAAUGUUUGCAAUGGUUUCCCAUAUGUCUCCAAGAAAUAUUGUUGUAGUGGUACAAGAGUUUAAGUGUGGAACCUCCUCCUAGAUGUCUUCAAGUAUGCAUUUCAAAAUGCUGAUAAUUGUGAUGAUGUUUUCUAACAAUUGCAUCAUUUUUGUCAAGGACCAUCUAAGUUAAUUAUACAAUAUAAUAUUUGAAUCUAGAGCCUCUUACUUUAUGUAGAGCUUAAGUAAAGAAAAAUUAGAAAUGUUUUCAAAAGAAAUAUAAAAAUGAUUUGCUACACUCUUUAAAUGUACCAAUGCUUUGUUUGUUUAAUAGUAGUGCUUAUUUUUUAUUAAUCUAGUUGAUUGAUAGAAUUUCUAAAUACAAGAUUAAAUUUAUUACACGUUAACCAUUAAAUGUUCUAGCAUUAAAUGUUAGAAUAUCCUAGAAUAUUCAAAUAUAUUCUAAAUAUCUACUACCAAAUUUAAAUGGGGACAGAGUUCCUUCAAGAUUUCCAAAGACAAUUCUAGGUAACUUAAUAUUUAAAAGGCCAAGUGUAAAUGGACAUCUGUAUUAUCUCAAUCAAACAAGUGAUAACCAACUUUCCAUUAUCCAAACAAACAUCCAUAAAACAUUUAUUAAAAUCAUGCAAAUGGAACCUGCCCAAGGCCUACAACUGGACAGCCCAUGUGCCUUCAGCCAUUAUCACUUUAUUGUUAUAGAUAGAAUUAUAAUAAAAAAAGUGUAAAGAAUAAAUAGAAAUUUCUAUGUUGUACUUAUUGAGUUUUUUCAAGUAAUCUACAUAUAGGAGGAGCUUGAACUAAGACGUAUCUCAUUUUAAUUUAAUUCUUAAUCUAGAUUUAUACUUAUCAUUAUAUUACCCUAAACCGUAAAUAUCCAAGAAUAUUUAAGAUAUUGUUUAAGACCAUAUCACAUUACCAUUCAAAUCUAACAAUUUUGUGGAGAUGUUUUUCAUAUCUCCAAUAACUUUUGACAGUGCAUAAGCAGCAAAGAAAUAUCUAACUUCUAACCAGUUUUCAGCUUCUGGACAUAUCACACUUAGAUCAUCACUGAAGUUGAACCCAAUUUUUGCUAUAAAAUAUCGAUUCCUAAACAUAAAUAUUUAGAUAAUUAAAUAUAAAAAUAAAAAACUCACAAAGUAUGAUGAUGAAAAAUUGCCAAAUAAUCAUCCAAUCCAGCCAACCUUGAAUCUGUAGAAAAAAUAAAAACUGUUUCUAAGAAAAUAUAAAAAGUUAUCUACUGACCUGACUCAGAAUACUUAAGGCUCAUCCCAAGUGCUAUACUUCUUAUAUGUUGAAGUUCAAAUUCAGUAGUUUUAAGAAUCCUAGCUGUUUGUAAAGCUUCCAGCACUUCCUAAAAAACAUAAAAGAAUAAAAUUUAUAAGAAAAUUCAAAUGAUAUAAUAUAAUACCAUGAUAGGAAUGUUGUACAUUGAUUUCCUACUUUGGAUCAAUGUAGACAGUUUAGUCCCAGGGUCCUUUUGUAAAUGCCGCUCUGAAAGUACAAAAACAUUUUAGAUUAAAAGCUAAAAAUAUUUGCUUGCCAAGAAAGAUCCUAAACAUCGCAUGUGUUGCCCAUCUCAUCACGUCGUUAGCUAAGCAAUUUGGAUUUUCACAAAGCAUCAUUGUAAGGCCACCACACUUGGUUUUUGAGCACGGAAUGUAUUUUGCAUUAGCAGCCAGCACAGCAGUGGAGAAUAAACAUUCUCCAGCCUUAGUCUGUGAAAGAACAGGAGUAAGCAUCACAGAAACGAUACUGAUUUACCUGAUAUUCUGGCAUGACAAGAAAAGUGAUUUACCUUAGAUUUUGGCUCGAGCAGCAUUGUGUCCUGAGAAUUGGUGACCUUGUCCAAUGUACCCCCACGAUCCUGUAAAAAAAUGAAAUGGAAUUAAACGUCACGAGUAAUAAGGAAGAAUGAUUUACUUGCGACUUGAGCAACAUCAUCUCUGUUAUUCCCUCUGAAUGCAUUAUGUCACAUACGGCCGCGUCCUUGGCCACCCUGCCCUGGACACCAAGCUUGUCCCAAAGACGAUCGUCAAAGACUGCCUUGGCAGGGACAAGCUUGGUGCCAGCCACACACGGCAGCACGUCGCGUAGAGCAUCUUCAGCGAAAAAGAGGCCCAUCUUUCUAUUGAUGCCAAUACCGCGGAGAUCCACCACGACGCACUUUCUGAUCCCGAUCGCGUCCACAGCGUCCAGCUCCUUGACAGGAUCCUCUCCACGGUCAUGAGACGCCUGGACGAACUUCCUGGCCGACAGUGUCAUGGGCAUGCCCCGGAAGUCGUCGUAGUUGACGACCCAGUCCAGAGAGCCAUACUGCAAUGCCUUGGUGGGAACCGCCAGAAGGAUGUAGCCAGUGGAGACCCGAUUCUGCCAGAUGGAUUCCUUAUAGACGAGGACUUGUUUAGCAUCAAGCUCUCCUAAAGUUCCAUCGAUCACGAAUUCCGCCGGAGGACCCCGACACCGCAGGCCGAGCUCAAACGUGGAAAUGCAGCCCACGGCUUCGAUCCUCCUGAUCUGGCAUGGCUCCAGCGGCGUCAUUGAAGGCUCCAUUUCGUUGUCGUACAAGUAGGCUGGAAUGCUCCAAGGCGCUCCCCAGUAAAGGGCAUUUGCAUGUGUACGACGCUGCUUGGGGCAGAUGUUUCCAUGAGCGUAGCUCAGGUGAUCAAGCAACGUCGUGUCGGGGCAGCCGCAUGCAGUCAACUGCCGGUUGUAGCAGAUAUCGCAGAAGAGGAACAAGGAGGUGGUGGUGUUAUCAUAGACGAGCUUGAGAGGAGGAGCAGGAGUACGAGGCCGAGCUCGAACCCGAGCUUGAGUUUCCACGAGCGUGCCGCAUCCGCGGGCAACUCCUGCACCCACAAGCUAAAUGUUAGCUGCGCUCUUGCGCUCUUCUACUCACUCACGUCCAAAAAGCCGCCGCCAGAACAUGCCGCCCAACCAGGAGCAAGAGUUUAUCUGCGAGUGUGCUGGGCAGAUCCACUUAUCCGCGAGUGUGCUAGGCAGAUCCACCGAUAGCUACCACCCUAGACACUUUUAGGGCAAGGUUCUUAGAAUAUUCCUUGAAACUCCAUCUAUAUAAAAAGUUAAUCUUUAUAAUGAACAUUUAAUUUCUUUAGUGAUCAAUGAUGCGGCAUCUCAAAUAUGUACUUAGAAUUAAAUAAUUCUUGCUAUCAAAGUUUUAGGAUCACCAACUUGAUCCGUUAGCCUCGUGUCAUAGGCACUCGUUUGUAGUAUUUAACAUCGGUUCUAGAGCUCCUUUUCCUAUCUUUCUAGGCUUCCAUAGUGUAGAGUUCUCUAUGGCUCACACUUUUCUCUUUGCUACUUCUCUCUUCGCUGUUCUUGCUAGCGCUGUUCUAGCUACCAACACCAACAACUCAUGUUUCCCAGGUAAGACUCUGCAAGCGAUUUUACAACCAGUCACAAGCUUUAUGUUCGCAGGCGAUGCCACCGUCCAAAUGUAUAACGGCGACCUCAAACUCAUGAGAGAUCUCGAAGUUGGAGACAAGGUAUUGUAUUGCUCUUAAGUUUCUCGAAAGCCCAUCUAAACGUGCCAGAUCUAAAGGUUGCAGUGAGCAAAAACGUGUUCUCCGAUGUCUACGCAUUCGGCCACAAGGACGCCGAUGUGAUCUCCGAGUUCAUCCAGGUCCACACCGCCUCAGACAUGAUCGAGCUUAGCGAGGGCCACUUCAUCCCAGUCGACGCCAAGGGAAAGCUUGUGUACAAGCGAGCCAAGGAUCUCCAGGUUGGAGAAACUCUCUGGGGAUCAUCUCAAAUCACUGGUAACAUCAUACUUCUUUUGAGACUUUGCUCUUACUUUUGACAAUUAUAGAACUUUCCAAGGUGGAGAAGCUGGGCCUCUACAACCCAUUCACUCUCUCCGGCAACAUCAUGGUUAACAACGUGGAGGCUUCCUCCCACAGCGAGUGGUUCCUGGACUCCCUCUUUGAUGCCAUUGGCGCAACUGAGUACCUCCCAUAUGCAUACCAGGCCGUGCUCGCUCCACUUCGUGCCAUCUACAACAUUGUUGGGAAGGAAAUCUAUGGAAAGGGUUAUGCUGCCGUCAAUUCUUGUGUCAACGUUGCUGAAUUUGGAAUGAAGCACGGAGGAAGCAUUGCUCUCACCGUUGGAAUCGCUGGAGUUGCAACAGCAAUGCUGGCCACGAAGUCUUGAGCAAAAAUCAGGAGUAAAUAAGAGAGAAAUAAUCACAAUCCAGAUCAAGUCAAUGUAAAUCUCCAGAACAAGAACAAAAGAAAUGAGUGAAGAAACUGUGUGAUGUCAAACAAAAGCUUCAUUUCAUGACAUGCAUCACAAAGAUGCAUAGAUGUUUUCCAAGUUUUUCAAAUGUAUAAGAGGUUCUAAAUGUAUAAUAAGGAUAGUGGGUAAGUCGGGCAUAGUUGACUAACCUAAGGUAUAGUUUAGCUUUUGUUUGUGUUUUUGUCAUUGUUUUGUGUCUGGAUUGGGUCUAAGCUUAAAUUUCAUAUUAUGUUAGUUGGUGGAGUAUUUAUAUCCUCGCAUUAGACUACUAGUAUGCUGAAAUAGUAUUAAAUUUCAUUUGGCUCCAUUUUACAUGUUAGUUCUAGCAUUGGGAUGGUAAAUGCUCUAAUGUUAUUUUAAGUUGCUUCACAUUCCUAUCCCUUCACUUUUUGUGCUGUACAUUCAAGAAUCCGUUCUAUGCUUUAGUGCUAUUACCCUUUAACCUUAUCUUAGGAGUUUGGCACUAUUCCUUCAUUCAAUAGUCUAAGGCCCUGAAACUCAAGUUCUACACCAUUGUCCUUGGGAUACAUGGCAUGUGAUAUAUAGCACAUGUGCUUCAUGGUUAUCAUAUGGUAAAUCAUCAUAGGAUAAAAAGGUAAAAAUCAUGUGAUAUAAAUUUUUAUAUUCCAUGCACUCACAUUGAUGGAGUUGAAGAGUAGCUUUGAUUGUCUUUGAGGAAUGCUUAGAUUUAUAUUUUUAAUUUAGAUCUAGUUUUUGGUUUAGAUAAUUAGUUUAGUUAUUUGAUGUUAUGUGGUUGCAACUAAAUAAUUAAUUUCAGUUGAUGGUGACAUUCAUGGCAAAUGGUGCAACUCUUCUUACUCUUUCUGCCCAUCCUUAUAUCUGGUCAAAUUUUUUCUGUAGAAAUCCCAAAGAUGAUAUUGAUCAUUGGUUCAAUCACUUUACAUUGAUUGCCAAUUAUUAUUUUUGAAAUGAUAUCUAAUAUUUACACAAGUUUUUCACAUAUCUCCAAGAGACAUUGUUGUAGUGGUACAAUGGUUUAAGUGUGGAACCUCCUCCCAAAUGUCUUCAAGCAUGCAUUUAGAAAUGUUGAUAAUUGUGAUGAUGCCUUCUAACAAUUGCAUCAUCUUUGUCAGGGACCGUUUAAGUCAGUUAUGCAAUUUAAUGUUUGAAUCUAAAGCCUCUUACUUCGUGUAGAGCUUAAGUAAAUAAAAAUCAGAAAUAUUUUCAAAAGAAAUAUAAAAUGAUUUGCUACACUUUAGAUGUACCAAUGCUUUGUUUGUUUAAUAGUAGUGCUUAUUAUUUAUUAAUCUAAUUGAUCAAUAGGAAGUUUAUAAUUUCUAAACACGAGAUUAAAUUUAUUACACAUUAACCAUUAAAUGUUCUAGCAUUAAAUGGUAGAAUAUCCUAGAGUAUUUAAAUAUAUUCUAAAUGUCUACUACCAAUUCUAAAUGGACAAUCUAUAUUAUCUCACUUAAGUAAGUGAUAAACCAAAUUUCCAUUACCUAAACAAACAUCCAUAAAUUUUUUAUUGAAAUCAUGCAAAUUGAACCUGCCUCAAGGCCUACAACUGGACAACCUGUGUGCCUUGGGCCAUUAUCACUUUAUUAUUAUAGAUAGAAUUGUAACAAAAAAAGUGUAAAGAAUAAAUAGAAAUUUCUAUGUUGUACAUAUUGAUUUUUUUCAAGUCAUCUACAUAUAGGAGGAGCUAGAACUAAGACAUAUCUCAUUUUAUAGCUAUUAAAUAUUAAAUUUAAUGCUUAAUCUAGAUUUAUACUUAUCAUUAUAUUCUAAAAUAUAUUACCCUAAACCGUAAAUAUCAAAUAAUAUUUAAGAUAUAACCCCUACUGAUUGUUUAACACCAUAUCAAUGUUUUUCAUAUCUUCAAUACAGUGCAUAAACAGCAAAGAAAUAUCUAACUUCCAACCAGUUUUCAGCUUCUGGACAUAUCACACUUAGAUCAUCACUGAAGUUGAACCCAAUUUUUGCUAUAAAAUGUCCAUAUUCCUAAACAUAAAUAUUUAGAUACUUAAAUAUAAAAAUAAAAAACUCACAAAGUAUGAUGAUGAAAAAUUGCCAAAUAAUCAUCCAAUCCAGCCAACCUUGAAUCUGUAGAAAAAAUAAAAUAACCUGACUCAGAAUACUUAAGGCUCAUCCCAAGUGCUAUACUUCUUAUAUGUUGAAGUUCAAAUUCAGUAGUUUUAAGAAUCCUAGCUGUUUGUAAAGCUUCCAGCACUUCCUAAAAAACAUAAAGAAUAAAAGUAAAAAAAUUUCAAAUGAUAUAAUAUAAUACCAUGAUAGGAAUGUUGUACAUUGAUUUCCUACUUUGGACAGUUUAGUCCCAGGGUCCUUUUGUAAAUGCCGCUCUGAAAGUACAAAAACAUUUUAGAUUAAAAGCUAAAAAUAUUUGCUUGCCGAGAAAGAUCCUAAACAUCGCCUGUGUUGCCCAUCUCAUCACGUUGUUAGCUAAGCAAUUUGGAUUUUCACAAAGCAUCAUUGUAAGGCCGCCACACUUGGUUUUUGAGCACGGAAUGUAUUUUGCGUUAGCAGCCAGCACAGCAGUGGAGAAUAAACAUUCUCCAGCCUUAGUCUGUGAAAGAACAGGAGUAAGCAUCACAGAAACGAUACUGAUUUACCUGAUAUUCUGGCAUGACAAGAAAAGUGAUUUACCUUAGAUUUUGGCUCGAGCAGCAUUGUGUCCUGAGAAUUGGUGACCUUGUCCAAUCUACCCCCACAAUCCUGUACAAAAAUGAAAUGGAAUUAAACGUCACGUGUAAUAAGGAAGAAUGAUUUACUUGCGACUUGAGCAACAUCAUCUCUGUUAUUCCCUCUGAAUGCAUUAUGUCACAUACGGCCGCGUCCUUGGCCACCCUGCCCUGGACACCAAGCUUGUCCCAAAGACGAUCGUCAAAGACUGCCUUGGCAGGGACAAGCUUGGUGCCAGCCACACACGGCAGCACGUCGCGUAGAGCAUCUUCAGCGAAAAAGAGGCCCAUCUUUCUAUUGAUGCCAAUACCGCGGAGAUCCACCACGACGCACUUUCUGAUCCCGAUCGCGUCCACAGCGUCCAGCUCCUUGACAGGAUCCUCUCCACGGUCAUGAGACGCCUGGACGAACUUCCUGGCCGACAGUGUCAUGGGCAUGCCCCGGAAGUCGUCGUAGUUGACGACCCAGUCCAGAGAGCCAUACUGCAAUGCCUUGGUGGGAACCGCCAGAAGGAUGUAGCCAGUGGAGACCCGAUUCUGCCAGAUGGAUUCCUUAUAGACAAGGACUUGUUUAGCAUCAAGCUCUCCUAAAGUUCCAUCGAUCACGAAUUCCGCCGGAGGACCCCGACACCGCAGGCCGAGCUCGAACGUGGAAAUGCAGCCCACGGCUUCGAUGCUCCUGAUCUGGCAUGGCUCCAGCGGCGUCAUUGAAGGCUCCAUUUCGUUGUCGUACAAGUAGGCUGGAAUGCUCCAAGGCGCUCCCCAGUAAAGGGCAUUUGCAUGUGUACGACGCUGCUUGGGGCAGAUGUUUCCAUGAGCGUAGCUCAGGUGAUCAAGCAACGUCGUGUCGGGGCAGCCGCAUGCAGUCAACUGCCGGUUGUAGCAGAUAUCGCAGAAGAGGAACAAGGAGGUGGUGGUGUUAUCAUAGACGAGCUUGAGAGGAGGAGCAGGAGCACGAGGCCGAGCUCGAACCCGAGCUCGAGUUUCCGCGAGCGUGCCACAUCCGCGGGCAACUCCUGUGCCCACAAGCUAAAUGUUAGCUGCGCUCUUGCGCUCUUCUACUCACUCACCUCCAAAAAGCCGCCGCCAGAACAUGCCGCCCAACCAGGAGCAAGAGUUUAUCUGCGAGUGUGCUGGGCAGAUCCACUUAUCCGCGAGUGUGCUAGGCAGAUCCACCGAUAGCUAUAGACACUUUUAGGGCAAGGUUCUUAGAAUAUUCCUUGAAACUCCAUUUUGCUUUCAUUCUUUUAAUGCUAUAUAAAAAGUUAAUCUUUAUAAUGAACAUUUAAUUUCUUUAGUGAGUCGAUGAUGCGGCAUCUCAAAUAUGUACUUAGAAUUAAAUAAUUCUUUCUAUCAAAGUUUUAGGAUCACCAACUUGAUCCGUUAGCCUCAUGUCAUAGGCACUCGUUUGUAGUAUUUAACAUCGGUUCUAGAGCUCCUUUUCCUAUCUUUCUAGGCUUCCAUAGUGUAGAGUUCUCUAUGGCUCACACUUUUCUCUUUGCUACUUCUCUCUUCGCUGUUCUUGCUAGCGCUGUUCUAGCUACCAACACCAACAACUCAUGUUUCCCAGGUAAGACUCUGCAAGCGAUUUUACAACCAGUCACAAGCUUUAUGUUUGCAAUCAAAACACAGGCGACGCCACCGUCCAAAUGUAUAACGGCGACCUCAAACUCAUGAGAGAUCUCGAAGUUGGAGACAAGGUAUUGUAUUGCUCUUAAGUUUUUCGAGAGCCCAGCUAAACGUGCCAGGUCUAAAGAUUGCAGUGAGCAAAAACGUGUUCUCCGAUGUCUACGCAUUCGGCCACAAGGACACCGAUGUGAUCUCCGAGUUCAUCCAGGUCCACACCGCCUCAGACAUGAUCGAGCUUAGCGAGGGCCACUUCAUCCCAGUCGACGCCAAGGGAAAGCUUGUGUACAAGCGAGCCAAGGAUCUCCAGGUUGGAGAAACUCUCUGGGGAUCAUCUCAAAUCACUGGUAACAUCAUACUUGUUUUGAGACUUUGCUCUUACUUUUGAUAAUUAUAGAACUUUCCAAGGUGGAGAAGCUGGAUCUCUACAACCCAUUCACUCUCUCCGGCAACAUCAUGGUUAACAACGUGGAGGCUUCCUCUCACAGCGAGUGGUUCCUGGACUCCCUCUUUGAUGCCAUUGGCGCAACUGAGUACCUCCCAUAUGCAUACCAGGCCGUGCUCGCUCCACUUCGUGCCAUCUACAACAUUGUCGGGAAGGAAAUCUAUGGAAAGGGUUAUGCUGCCGUCAAUUCUUGUGUCAACGUUGCUGAAUUUGGAA